GAUAAUCUACCCUUAGGACCGGGAUAACCUUGGGAAACUGAGGAUAAUACCGGAUAGGCAAUUAUUCCUGUAAUGGUUUUUUGUUUAAAUGUUUUUUCGCCUAAGGAUGAGUCUGCGGCCGAUUAGGUAGUUGGCUAGGUAAUGGCUUACCAAGCCGUUGAUCGGUACGGGUUGUGAGAGCAAGAGCCCGGAGAUGGAACCUGAGACAAGGUUCCAGGCCCUACGGGGUGCAGCAGGCGCGAAACCUCCGCAAUGUGAGAAAUCGCGACGGGGGGAUCCCAAGUGCCAUUCUUAACGGGAUGGCUUUUCAUUAGUGUAAAGAGCUUUUGGAAUAAGAGCUGGGCAAGACCGGUGCCAGCCGCCGCGGUAACACCGGCAGCUCUAGUGGUAACAAUUUUUAUUGGGCCUAAAGCGUCCGUAGCCGGUUAAUAAGUCUCUGGUGAAAUCCUGUAGCUUAACUG
rnacentral:rRNA from 1 species